rnacentral:misc_RNA from 1 species
GCCUGCAUUCUUUAUGCUUGCUAAACUUCAAUCUUAUGAACAAAACCACCAGAUUUUGAUCUUAUUCCAGUCAAUUUACUUGUCGAUGUUAAAAAUAUAAACAAUUAGUAAGCUGAGUUAUGCUGGGAAAUCUGGUGGACACGUUCCUCUACUGUAGUCUAGCUAGUUGCUGAUGAUGAAUAAAAACAUAUGAUUAAAUGCCAAUGAGAGAGUUCAGUUCUUAUAGAUUUGUGU